CCAUCGUACGUGCGCGCACCCUUCUAUCGCGUGGUGGUGAUCAUCCAUAUUGCUGCUAGUGGUGGAGAUUAUCUUGUAAUUUUAAAGUCUUUCGGACGCUUUUUAUAUGUUUUAAAUCAACACAAACCACUCUGCGUCUUAGACUGAAGGCUAUUUGGUCUAGGGGUGGAGUGGAGUAACGAUAGAAACGAGUUUACUCGAGGAAUACUGAACAUUUACCAUUCUUGAGUUGAAAGCGAAUUUGGGGAUAUCGUGAGGAAAAGGGGAAAUGGCCACUCAGGUGGAGACUCUCCUACCCAACAAUCCUCUUAUCAAAGAAGAGGAGCAUGGGCAUGCGAGCAAGACGAUACAACACGGAGAGGACUGUCUGGAAAAGGGGGCCAAGCAGACGGGUGUUGCCGACGACGGUAGCAAUAUGAAAGCAGACAACUCGGAACUGGGGGGGGUCGCAAUGAAGGAGCAAAACUCCAAACAGGCAAAAGAAGAGAGUAACAAUCAAGAGAAAGACAUCCUGGAUCAAGAAAAGCACACGACCGGACAAACGGAAGACUAUGUGAAAUGUAGCAAAAAGGAGUUUGCUGAAGCACCCCCGCCCAAGGUGAACCCAUGGACUCAGAAAAUGAAUGCGGUGACCGUGGUCAACGUGAAUGGACAAGCACAUCAUGAGCUGCCGCCCACAACAGGCCCGGCCAAGGUGGUGAAGGCCCCAAAUCCCCGUCCUCGGAGAGGAGGAAAGGUUGGGGAUUUUGGAGAUGCUAUGAACUGGCCAACACCAGGGGAGAUCGCAACUAAAGAGACGCAGAUUGAAGUUGUGACUGGGAUUGUGUCAUGCCCCAUGCCUGUCAGGCAGGUCAGAGAGGUGAGCUCCCCACGGAGAUCCCCAGCCCCCAAGAAGCCCGUGGUUAAGAAAGAGUGGAAAGAGAAACGUGACACCAACGAAGACAGCAAGGAGAACCAGAAGGCCAAGUCGGACGACUCUGGAGAGGAGAAGAACGGAGACGACGACUCUCAGAAAAAUGGACAGAAGAAAAAAGGGAACAAGCACAAGUGGGUGCCGCUGAUGAUGGAGGUGAAGUCCGAGGGGCCCAGAGAGCGCUCUGCAUCCAGGAACAACACCCGUCAGAACGAGGUUCCCAGGAUGCCCCCCAACAACAGGAACGACCUCCGAGACUGGCACAGCGGGAAGUACGAGCGUGAAUGUCGUGAGGACCAUGAUGAGGUGUCCAGCGUGAAGAGUGAGGGUGCUCCCUUCCGUGCCGGGUUCCGGGGGCGUGGCCGUGGCAGGGGCAGGGGACGGGGACGAGGCAGAGGAGGCAGCAGAGGUCACUAUGACUACCAUUACGGCUACAAGGCCUACGACGGGAAGGACGGCGCCUACGGCCAGAAGUUUGGCGCUCCGGUGACCUACUACUAUGACAACAUGAGCAGCAACGACCUGUACUCCGUAGACCAGGAUCUGCUCAAGGACUACAUCAAGAGGCAGAUUGAGUAUUACUUCAGCCUUGACAACCUGGAGCGGGACUUCUUCUUGCGCAGGAAGAUGGACCAGGAAGGCUUCCUGUCUCUUGGCCUGGUCGCUAGCUUCCACAGGGUGCAGGCCCUCACCACCGACGUCAACCUCAUCAUAGAGUCUUUAAAGGGCAGCAAAGAGGUGGAGAUCAUCGAAAUGAAGAUCCGCCGCAAGGUGGAACCCGAGAAGUGGCCUCUACCGGGUCUUUCCAUGGGACCAGACCACAACCAAGUCGACCUGACCCAGCUCAUCCACUGCCCGGAGUUCGUGCCCCGGCAGACGCCCGCUGAGCAGACAGAAUCUGCUCCAGGGUCUCCCGGUCUUCGACACCCACCAGGGGCUCUACCAGGGCCUCCAUGCAGCCCAAGGUGGAGCAGGACGUGUCCAACCUGAAGAGCAUGUCCAAGGGCCUGUCGGCGAGUCUCCCCGACCUGGACUCUGAGUCCUGGAUCGAGGUGAAAAAGAGGCCCAGGCCCUCCCCGGCCCGACCCAAGCAGAAGGAAGAGGCUGUCUCCCCGGUGCCCCAGCCAGGCCCCAGCCCGAUCCCCUCGGUCUCCCCAGCCCAGGCCUCGGCCACGGGAGCCAAGGAGGAGCAGGACGAGCCCGAGGAGCUGGACUUCAUGUUUGAUGAGGAGAUGGAGCAGAUAGAUGGUCGCAGGAACACCUUCACCGACUGGUCCGACGACGACUCGGACUGCGAAAUCGCCGACAACGACGUUAACAAAAUCCUCAUCGUGACUCAGACGCCGCCUUACCUGCGCAAGCACCCGGGGGGCGACCGUACGGGCCACCACACGUCACGCUCUAAGCUGACCAACGAGCUGGUGAAGGUGAUCAACGACGGCCUGUACUACUACGAAGCAGAUCUGUGGGAUGACAACUACGAACCCGAGUACGCCACCAUCAAGCAAGAGGUGGAGAACUUCAAGAAGGUUCACCUGAUCAGCCGAGAAGAGUUUGACUGCCUAACACCAGAGCCCCCUGUCGACCCCAACCAGGAGGUACCCCCGGGACCCCCAAGCCCCAGCAGAGUGAUUCCCGUGAACGCCUUGGCGAACAAACUGUUCGGUGCCCCCGAGCCUUCCACAAUAGCACGCUCCUCCCGACUACUGUGCCUGACUCGCCCAACUACCGCAGUGCCCGGACGCCCCGCACGCCACGCACCCCGCACCGGAAGGACCCCCCCAUGACGCCCCGCUUCUACCCCGUGGUGAAGGAGAGCCGGCCUGUCGACGCCAUGACCCCCAGGAAAAGGAAGACCAGACACAGCUCUAACCCCCCAAUGGAGUGCCACGUUGGCUGGGUGAUGGACUCACGAGAACACCGGUCCCGCACUGCCUCCGUCAGCUCCAACGCCAGCCCCUCAGAGGGUACCCCUGCAUUGGGGGAAUUGGCUGUACCCCCAGUCGCUCCCCAAGUUCAGCACCCCUCCCGAACUGCUCAAGGAGAACGGCUUCACUCAACAUGUUUACCACAAGUACCGUCGGGCUGCCUAAACGAGCGCAAGCGGUUGGGCAUCGGCCAAUCCCAGGAGAUGAACACGCUGUUCCGUUUCUGGUCGUUCUUCCUGAGGGAUCACUUCAACAGGAAGAUGUAUGAGGAGUUCAGGCAGCUGGUGGUGGAGGACGGCAAGGAGGGAUACAGGUACGGUCUGGAGUGUCUGUUCAGGUACUAUAGCUACGGACUAGAGAGGAAAUUCAGACCAGACAUCUUCAAAGACUUCCAGGAGGAGACCAUGAAAGACUACGAAGCUGGCCAGCUGUAUGGACUAGAGAAGUUUUGGGCGUUUCUUAAAUACUCCAAAAACAAGAACAUGGAGAUCGACCCCAAGCUGCAGGAGUGCCUGAGCAAGUUCAAGCGUCUUGAAGAUUUCAGAAUCGAUCCCCCGAUGGAGGAGGGGGGUCGCAAGAGACACUCAUCCAGUGGAGACGGUCGUCGCCGCCACCCCUCCCAGGGUUCCAGCCGCCCCCACAGCCAAACUGGCUUCGGCCCGGCCCCGAUCGCCCUGAUCGCCCAGGCCCCCGCCAAGGAUGAUGCCAAAAACAGCAGCCAGAGCCAGCGACCCCAGGCCUCGGCUACCACCGCAUCAGACACCAAGCCACCAAAGUAAACCCCCCGGACAACCCGCGGAUCAACUCAACGUCAUCAAAUCCUUUUCUGCAACACAAGGGGGUCCAAUGGUUCACGCAAAGCAUGAGAGAAUGACUCUGAUGAAUGUCUCGUGAUUGAAAUAAAUCAAGGCUCUUCCAUUUUUAAUUUCUUUUGUUUUAAACAGAGUUUUGUCUUGUUGGAGACAAAGACUAUUGAAGUAAUGGCUGAAGUGUUCCAUUGUAGUUUUUUUUUUUUCGUUUUUUUUUUUUUUUUUGCAAAACCUUAAGCAGAAUAUAUUCUCCUGGUGGUUACAAUGUGGGAAUGAAGGUUUUUUUUUUUGAGCACGUUUGAUGGCAACUGCAAACCUUGUGGCCCCAUUGUUGGACCUCCUUUCCAUUUGACACCAUCUUGUUGGCUGACAGAUGAGUGAUUUCUUCAAGAUCUGAUCUUCUUUUUUUCUCUUCUUCUUUCUAUGGGGUGAGUGGUGGAUUGGAAACUGAUACUUUUGGAGAGAAAAAAAAUUAAGGAAAACAAUAUUUGACUUGUUUUGGGCUGGAGGGAAGAUCAAAAUCAAGAAGAAACCAAAUGAUUAAAAUAAGAGACUUGUACCAGUCCCUCAGUAUCAGCAAGAUCGUUGAAAGUUGCCUUAUUUUAAUGGUUUUUCUGCUUAAUUUGUGCCCGCCACCUUAAUGUCGAUUGUACAGCAUUGAUAAUUGCAAAUAUGCAACAUCGGUCAUCACCUACAGUAGUGGCCACUCAGUGACACCCCCCCGCCUGCCAAACAGCACCCCCUUCUGAACUGUCUUCCAAGUGUCAUAAGUUCUGUUACAAAGCCUCCCCACCCCUCUGUGUAUUUGCAAUUUGUGGCUCUUUGUGCUAAAAUGCUUUGCUGGGGGGGGGGCACACCCACCCCUAACACCCCCCCAAAUCACCAGCCUCCCAAGGACAGUCUGCGUCCAGCCAUCGAUCUAUUCAUCCUAUCAUCCAUCCAUUGUACACCAUUCAGGCUACAGGACUGGAAUCACCAAUCCGGAUGACUUGACGACAGAGGAAAGGCUCUCGGUCCCAGUAGAUCUGGCAUGCUGCGGCAGGUGCUUUAGGUGUGUGGUGGGCUUUGUUUUGGGGGGUGUAAUGGCCUGCUUUCCAGGGCUAAACAAGACAGGGCUUCAGUCUGCAGCAUGGCCUAUACCCCUGCAUCCCACCACCACACACACACACCAGUGUUUCUUCCAGAGAGUUGUGGCUCUACUCUGUUCUUCUGGAGAACUGUAACCAAUGGACAGGCUAUGUAUCACCUCUGACCCCAACCAACCUGUUAUAUUCCCCUACAUCCAGUCAGAUCAACUAUAAUAAUCUAGUUUAGAUAACUUAAUCUUUAUCCGACAUGAGUACUGAUGAUAUCAAAUAGAUGAUUUUUUUUUUUUUUUUUGUCCACAAAUGUAAAUGUGAAUUGGACAGAUGAAGAGAAAUUACACCUCCCGGCUACUUGUUUUAUUGUUUAUAGAACAGAUUAUAUAUUCAUUCGCCUUACAUGUGUACGUACUCAAAAAAAAAAAAUGUUUUUUUUUUUUUUUUUAAUGUUCUCAUCUCUUAUUGCUUUUUUUAAUUUGCUGUGUUUCAAGCUCUCUGUAUUGAAUGUGUGUUUGAAACCUCUGGACUUUCAAGAAAUGGGAAAAUUAGUAUAGUACAAAUAAAGGGAAAUUUACAUUAGGGCAUCAACUGAUAUUCAAUUCAACAACUGACAUUAACAAAUUUCCAGGCAGUAGAGUUCAACUCCCAAGUUAAUUUGCAAAAUUUUAUUUUGAUGAAUUUUGUUGACAAAUUGUGUGACGUGAAACGCUGGUGUGUUCACGCAAACAGCAAUUUAGAACGAAUUGUAUCAUGAGUUAAUGUUGGUGGUUGAAUAGUCCCCCUAACUAGUUAUUGAUCAGGGACGUACAAUGGUCCUCUUUUUUUUUUUUAGUUAAAUAUAAAUUAGCAUAAAUAACAGUUAAACUAUACCGUCUGCUGGAGGGGAAAUGGGGUGAUUUAGAUUCACUGGUGGUUCCCCCUGUGUUAGAAUGUCCAGUUGUCUUCAUGUUUUGUUUUUUGUUUCAAAUGAUAUCUUUAUUAACCCGCCCCGCCAUUGUUGAACAAUCUACAAGAGUGUUUAGCGAGAAUUAGCUUUGUUUUUUAGCUUUUUUGGGGGGGGGAGCUUAGUUCAAUGGAGCUGCGGGGUCAAUUCAGGAGGCUGAUAUGAAUCACUCAAGAAAUCAUUUACUCGAGGAAUAAAGACGAGAGAGAAAAAAAAAUACGACAAAAGUCCCAACCAUUUCCCAACCCAGUUAAUCCUCUGAGAGGAUGUGGUGUGUCACCAGGGGGCGCCCUUCCAGACAACCACACAGACAGAUGCCCCCCCCCCCCCCCAGUGAAUGUCACCUGUGCCCCCUCCUCCAGGAUAGAGGGGGGGGCAGGUGCUCUGGGGUCCAGCCUUUUCUUCAGCAUAGUGACAAACCCUGCGGAUGGAUCAGCGGGCGCUCUGAUGAACUCUAGUGGGCGCCAUGUCUGGCAUCCUGCAGGGUCAGGUGGACUGGCCCAGACUUUGUGAAGAGCAAGAGGGAGGACGAGGAAGAUGGACGUAACCCGCCUUGGGUUUGUCAAUGAUGUCACUAUUUGAGAGGAUGUGAAUGGCUAUGAAUUCUGGGAACUGAACUAGGAGAAACAAUUCCAUAAAGCCAUAUAAAUAGAAAAACAGCUGUAUAUGAACCAUUAAAAAAAUGUUAAUAGUUCAUUAUCUUUAACAAUAUCCCAGGCUUGUCAUGAGAAGAAAAAAAAGAUUUAAAAAAUAAAAUAAAAUAAAAAAAGGAACAAAAAAAAUAUAUAAAACAGAAAAAUGUAAAAUACUUGAAUGAGAUCUUGUAUUAUAACAUUUAAUAUUCAUAAUAUCUGCUUUGUAGGCUGAUGUGAUUCGCUAUUAGUGUUAUUUGUAAUUUGUAGUAAUUAUGCUUUUCCUUAUUAAAUACAACAAAAAAAAACACAAAAUGGACAAAAAACCUCA